AUUGAACGCUAGCGGGAUGCUUUACACAUGCAAGUCGAACGAGUGGCGGACGGGCGAGUAAUAUAUCGGAACGUGCCCAGUAGCGGGGUAUAACUACUCGAAAGCGUGGCUAAUACUGCAUACUAUUGGAGCGGCCGAUAUCGGAUUAGCUAGGUGGGGGGGUAAAGGCUCACCAAGGCAACGAGCCGCAGCUGGUUCGCGAGGACGACCAGCCACACUGGGACUGAGACACGGCCCAGACUCCUACGGGAGGCAGCAGUGGGGAAUUUUGGACAAUGGGGGAAACCCUGAUCCAGCCAUCCCGCGUGUAUGAGAAGGCCUUCGGGUUGUAAAGUACUUUUGGCAGAGAAGCGGUAUCUACAGAAUAAGCACCGGCUAACUACGUGCCAGCCGCCGCGGUAAUAC
rnacentral:rRNA from 1 species